CUAGACUUGGAGGUCAACGGAAGUGAACGGAGCCCCAAGUCGUCUCUCAGUCUCCCUAACACACAUUAAAUGACAAAUGUUUGCUCACUAACUACUGGGCAGAGAGGUGAAGCAAGUAUGAACUGAAUAAAUUGAUCAGUUGAAGUGCUACUUUGGUUAAUUCAGGUUAGACAUGUUUGUUUCUUCCCUCUCUGCCUCAAAAUUAUGCAUGCAUUCCAAGACAAUUUACAGUUCUAUUUGUUGGGUUUGUGUGAAAUUGGAAUUGCAUGUAUUGAUUGUGUUUAUGAUGGGUUCUCUAGAGCUGCUAGUAGUACAAUGCAUGCUAGAUUGCCUCCUUGUUGACUUCCUUUCCUGGCCUCAAAAGUUAAACCAAAAGGAGAUAUGUUAUAUAACGUAUUGUAUUGUCAAACAACUACUCCAAACAGAAGAAAGUAUAUCUACCAGGGAGUAAUAAAGCAUGAAUGAAAGAAAUUUGAGAUUUUUGCUUCAUUUGGAGUGUGGGUAAAACCCAUCUGAACAAAUUUACUGUAGUUUAAAGCUUCUAAAUUCUUAUUCCAUUGGACGGAUUUUGAAACUUCCCUGUUAUGUUUCUAUUCAGCUAGAUAUAGGACAACCUCACUUACUGAGGAUAAUUAUCUUAGUCAACAAUCUAUGCUCCAUUACAGCAUUUUUUUUUUAAAUAUUUUCUGAUACAUAGGCUGUCAUGUUAACCAAAUCAAUUUAGGAGAAUGAAUUGGGUUUUUGCACAUUUUGUUGGAUUGGACGGCUGUUAAACGUUGGCUGCACCUUUGAACUUGUGUCUUGUGAACUUGGUUCUCUUAUAGCCAGUAUGUAAUCUAGUCUAGGUAAUAAGAUCAUGGAUCAAUUAAUGAAUCCGUGGAACCAGACGGAUUAGACGUUCAUGGUUUUCAACUGCAACGGCAGUUUAACUUCUUCACCAGAGUCUUCGUUACAAAUUGAAUCUGGUGCCUGACUCUAAAUCUGCCCUGAACUAGGUGAGUUUGGAUAGGUUUUUCAAUAAGAUGGCACGAAGCAAAUUGUCCUUAUAUGAUACUUGUUUACAAUCCAUCCUAUGUUCCUCUUAAGCUUUCUGUGAGGAGCAUCAGCAGGGCAUUUUUCUCUGAUUCUGCUGUCAGCAAAUAAGUUACAUCAAUCCUAGAUAUGUAUGAAGAAAAGGUGAGGUUUCCACAUGUUAAAGCCAAAGAAGAAACGGAAUUCACCAAGAGUUCAAAUUUCUUCAUGAAAAUGGUAUAUAGAAGAUACUGAAUGACGCAGGCUGUCUUUACCUUGAUAUAGAAGACCUUGGUUAACUUGGUUCUAAACAGUUCAAACCUACUGGUCAAUAAAAUGAAUAAAGAUCACAAUUAAGGUAUGUCAAAAUGUCUAAAAGCGAAAGAUGAUGUUGGAAAACCUUAGUAGAAUCUCUUGUAUUGCAUAGGACUUAUGAAUCCACAACUGCAGCUUCUGAUAUUAAAAAAUUUACCAUUUUGAGUUGCUGUAAGGUUCAUGAUUACUCUUUUCCACUUUCAGAGUAUCCUAGUCGAUGAUCUUCCUGUUCUGCCCACUUAUUUGGACGCACAUAUUGCCCUGUCUAUCUUCUUUCUGUAAAAUGUAGUUUACUUUCUUGCAAUCAGUUCUUUUAAGUUCUAUAUAUUUCCAUUAACCCAACUUUCUUAGUAAAUUUCGUGAGACAAUUGAGUGUCAGAAUUGUUCCUGUUCUACAGUCCGUAUAAAGCAAAGAAAUAUGAAAGCUUAUAUAAAUUUAACUAUUUCAAUCCUUUCAUGUAUUUUAUGACUUAGCAUCUGGGAGUUAACUUAGAUCUUGAGGAAUUGGUUUCCUCUUUCAACUCUAGACCACUGCUGUGCAAGAUGCACCACAUGCAUUAAUUAUAUCAGUUUACUGUGUAAUCCACAGCACCUCUAGUAGAACAUGAUAGACUACACAGCAAAACCUAUGUCAUCAGUGGUGUUGAUUUGUAAAACGUCAAUUAUUGAGCAUGAGAAAUGAAAAAUAUCAGACAUUAAUGAUAUUUGUUACUGAUUAUUUUCUCAAGUGGUAUAAAAACAGCAAAGGGUUGGUUAAGCUAUACUGAGGUCUCUAAGCCACUAUGUUUCCGUACCUAGGAUACUAAAGAUAAGCAAACAGCAGAAAAAUUUACAGAUAGCUCAACCUAACAGUUGAAAUUACAGAAGAUUAACUUUGCUAAUAAAUACUUAUCAGAUGGGCCAUAUGAGUUUUACUCCAGCAGCUUAUAAAUGUGAAGAAAAUGGAUAUUUUAUCCUCUCGACUAGCCACCCAAUUGGCCAAGCUAGGACAGCAAUUCCAAUGCAUAUAAUCCAUUGCUUCCAAGACAGUUGCUUUGUAUCUGCUAACUCCUUUAACAGUUCCACAAUCAAUACCUGCAGUAGAAUUAUCGCUAGGAUUACACCCCAAAACAUUUUCCUUUUAUGUAUCCCUUUGAAGAAGUUUCCUUCAACUCUUUUCGUGUUGAAUAUGACAAAGAUCUCCCAGAGAACAAGGAUGUUGAAGAUCAUGGUAUCCUUUAUUUUGGCAUCCAGGUUGAAGGUUGAUUGACCUUUGAACUGUAUGGUCAGGAGAACAAUGAUAGGAUAGACAGCUUGUCCCACUAUAUUCUUCCACAUGAUGCUGGUUAUAAAUGGACGCUUCUGGUUGACUGGUGGCAAUUGUCUGAGCUCUUCUGGUGGUUCCUCAAUGGUGAUAGCAAGCGCAGCCAAUGCACCAACUAUCAACUUCACCCAUAGUACUUGAAAUGCUGCAUAUGGGACUUUACCUGAUGAAAUGGCUGCAACAAUAUUGAUAGUCGGAGGUUCUUUAGCAGAAACUGCUGUUACGAAGUCUAUCACAAGACAAGCAAUGCUAACAGAAAGUUGGAACUGUGCGUACAUCUGGAUUUUGUGAUACAUACCUCUACCCCACCUCAAUACUCUGGCUACAGAAACAAAAUUAUCAUCCAAAAUGAUAAUAUCCGAGUUCUCCUUUGCUUGGCUAGUCCCUUGAAUUCCCAGAGAGAGACCUGCAUCAGCUUCCCUUAGCACAGUUGCGUCCCCUAUGCUAUGUCCAGUAACUGCAACGACGUGGCCUCUCUCUUUCAAGCCUUGGACCAUGUGAAGUUUAUCCAAAGUAGAAGCUCGUGCCAUCACACGGAUUGUGCCACAUUUCUCUUUUAUCUCUGUUUCUGCAUUACUUUGCAAGCUUUGACGGUCCACUAAUUCAUCUGUUGUCUCAUCUUGAGUUGGAUCAAUAAUACCACAUUCAAUGGCUAUGGCUCUAGCAGUGGGAAGAUCAUUUCUUGUGACCAGUUUGAUGUCCACUUCUGCUUCCCGGCAGUCCAUCACAGCCUUUUGUACCUCUGGCCGACAUGGGCAUUUCAAGCCUAGGCACCCUAUGAAAGCUGAGUUUUCAUCACUAUGUUCUUCUGACACUUCUUUAUGUGCAAAAGCUACGCAACUGAGACCAUUAGACUUCAUCUUCUGAAAUAUUUGCUCCAAGUUUCUUUUUGCAUCAAUAGACAUAGGUUGGACGAUCCCAUCUUCAUCAUAAUAUUGCGAGCACGUGGCCAGUAUGAUUUUUGGUUGGCCUUUCUGGUGCACAUGAAUAGUAUCACUGGUAUUCCUCUUGAUCCAUAUGCUACUUUGAGUGUUCUCAGAAUUGAAGCUUUCUGGACUGUGAACGGCACAAUUUGCUCGAACUUGUUCAACAUUGACUCCCAUAUCUUGGACACUCCACGCCUGAAUUGUACUGUGAACUUGACUCUCAAAAAGUUCAAUGGGAGAUCCUGAUGAGGCUUCAGUGCUUCUUAAAAGCAUACCUUCACGGAGCAGUCCAAGAACAUUUCUUGGGAUGAUUGAGGAAGUUCCUGCAUUGAGAAGCUUGUUGCCGAAACAAAAUUGGCUUACUAUCAGAUGAUUCAAGGUAAGACUUCCUCUUUCAUCUGUGCAGAUUACAUCUGCGGAACCAACUGCUUCACAGGCUGAAAGAUUUCUUACUAGUGCCUUUUGAGAUGCCAUCCUGUUGGUUGAGUAAGCAAUGGUUAUCAUGACAGCUAGGAGCAAACCUUCAGGGAUGGCAGUUGCAGCAAUAGCAACUGGGGUGGCUAGGAUCCCUAUCAGAUCAUUGCAGACUUCAUGGAUAUUUGUCUUCCCUGCAGUGAAGUCUGAUUUUCCAUCCUCAUUCCGCAUAUUCCCGACAAAGUAACGAACAAGCAGUACUACCAGCACCAAGGAAGCAACCAUUAAACCGACUUUAGAUAUUUGUAUCGUCAGCUCACGUAGCUUCCUUUGUAAUGGAGUUCUUUCCUCAAUAUCAUAGCUUUUUGAGCUCAGCAUCUUCCCCCAUUCUGUGUUGAUGCCGACUGCAGUCACAAGCAUUCGAGCAGAACCGUUGAUCACCUUCGUGCCAGAGAGAAAGAAUGGAUUACAGCUUUCAUUGAUUUCGACUGAUUCCCUCCAAGCUGCGAUGCAUGACUCGUUCACCUGUAAAGGGUUCCCAUCUAUGAAUAAGCCAUCAGCAGGAACUUGGUCUCCAGUCUUCAAACAAAUAAUAUCCCCAACAACGGCUUCAAACACUGAGAUGCGCAUCUGUUGCCCAUUUCUGAUGACGGAGACGGAGAAUUUGUCACGAGCUUUCCAUAGCUUAAAGAAUUGUCUUCUUGGCCAGAGGUUACUCGUGGCAGUCACCAUGAUCACAAGAAUGACAGCGACAAAUAUGCUUCCCCCAUCAGACCAUCCUCUCCGCCCAUGACGUGUUAUACCAAAACAGACUGAAAGUGUUGCACAGACAAGUAGGAUAAUAAUGAUGGGAUCUCUGACGGUCUCAAGCACAAUGGGUAAAGUUUUUGGAGUUGGCUUCUGGAUAGUGUUUGAACCAAAGUUAUGGCGCCUACGUGCAAUUUCCUCAUCAUCACCUUGGAUACCGCUUUCAGCAUCGGAUUUGAGAUAUGAGGCAACUCCUGGAACGCCUCCAAGCUGAUGAAGCUGCUCGAUGUUUUUGUGGCGGGCAAGCUCAGAUAGGCAUUCUGGUGUAACAAUUUUUUUCACGGGAGUAGGCUCAGAUAAGCGUUCUGGAAUAACAUCGAUAACUGUAUCAAACGGAGAUGGUAAAGGAUUGUCCAACAGCCCGCUUUGGUUCCCAGGUGCAAUAUCUUUUGCUCGACAGAAGGCAUUGAUGCUAUAGAGCGUUGUCCAAAAUGCCCGCAACCUCUUCUGGGCAUCGAAAACUAUGGGUGUCAACUCUACUCCGUCGUUGACUACUACUUCCUCUUUUACAGAAGAGAAGCGUCUGAUGCUCCGGACGGUGAUAGAUAUGACUCGCCACCUCUUCUGGACUUGGCACCUCUUCUGGGCUCGAGUGGGAAGUAGUGGCGACUCGACAGCAUUGAAACUUGCUUCUGAAGUGUCGCUCAUUAUUGAUUUUUUUUUUUUGUGGGGGACAAAAAGAGGUAGUUUUGAACGUUGUCAGUUUAUUCUUGAGUAUCAGAUUGAUGUCACUGCCUGUAUUUAUACAUAUUUGAGAUAGAGAAGAAAUAGCACUUUCCUUCGAAUUUACCGUGUUUGAUCACCACCACUGAGGAGGAAACAUGGACGAAGUUUCGUCCAUUCCCUCGUAUAUAUAUUUUUUAUGUAGCAAAUUAGUGAUCGUCUCUUUUGGCUUCUCUCUUCUGUUCUGUAGCUAUUUGUCAACCUGAGUUUUGGUUCCUGGCAGUUGUUAUGGGGAUAAGACAUUAAUGAUUUCACCAUUGUUUUCAUCGUCAGCAGAAAAGUCGCUGUCUUUGUACGAUACCCCUCGUCACAACAUCACUAUAUAUAUAGCGUCAGCUUCUACGGGUCAUGCAUCAUGGAUCUGCAUGCCUCAACAUACGGAAGUCUCUGUAUAAUUCUGCUGGUUGAUUAACAUACUAUGUAAUUAAGGUGGCAUUACUAACUUUCAAGCUUUUUAUUUGUUACAGAAAAAAAAUCCCUUUCCUUGUUCGCAAAAUUCAAUUCUUUUUUACUUUCUUUGCUCCCCUUAUAAGGUUCAAAAUUUUCCUUAAACAACAACGACAACAAUAAUAGUGGUGAAUGACCUCUUUUCUUCCUGGAUGACAAUGCUGCAAAUUCUUGCACUAAAGUAAUUUUUGCCGAUGCCUCGAAGGAAUUACUUGCUCAUAAUGGGACCAAUCAUCUUGGAAUCAUUAGGCACUGUAAUAUGACUUCUUUGAAUGUGUAGCAACUUAAUUACGACUUCUUCAAAUAUAGCUGUCGACUGGCCUUUGAUGAAUUCGUGUAGGAGCUGUCGCAGUAGCAAGGAUUCUUAAAAAGUUUCACAACUUUGAUUGGCCCAAAAAAAAAAUUAUAUAUAUAUAUAUACACACACACACGACUCAUAUUACAAUUUGGAUGCAAAGCUAUCUUUUUGACUAUCUUUAAACAAUUUGGCAGCUUUUGUUAAGUCUGAGAUCACAACUCUGUCAUAUGUUUAGGGCCAUUUAGAAUGCUAUUUUUUGAAGUUUUUAUUGAAAAUUGUAUGAAAGCGAUCUGAUGUAUGUCAAUGACGGAGCCAAGGGGGGCCCAGGGGGUCAUAGCCCCCUCUAAGUUUUGAAAAUUUUAAUUAAUAAUAUCGAAAUAUAUGUGUAAAACAAAGUUGACUCCCUUAAUUUUUUACAAUGUUAGUUUCUAUUAUGAAAUUUUCAAAGCCUAAAUAUAUGAUUUUAUGAUCCAUAGUAAAUUGACCCAAUUUGAUAUAUUAUAAUAAAAUGACCUAAUACAUAAUUAUCAAUGGGCUAAAACAAAAAUAAGCACUUUAUUGGUAUAUAUAUAUACAACUUAGUCCAAUUGAUUAGACUUGUUCUCACUCCUAUUCCUGUAUCAACUGCAACUAUAGAAUGUGCAUUUCUGAUUAUGAAGAUAGUCAAGACAAAAGCUCCGAAAUAAGCUCAAAGAUAAUUUAUUGAAAGAUUGCCUAAUUGUUUACAUAGAAAAGAAAGUUAUUGAAAAAUUUAGCAUUGAUUUAAUCAUAGAUGAAUUUAUUUCUAUGAAAGUAGUCAGUUUUAUAUUACAUAGUUAUAUAUAUAUAUAUUGCAUAGGUGACGUAUUGGAGCAUCUUAUCAUAAUGUGCAACUUGGGUGGUUUGUGAUGUUAUAAAAUAUUUAAUCAAAUGUUAUUUCUUGUCUUAAUUUUUGUUAUGACUAUGUUGUAUAUUAUAAAAUAGAAAAAUACCUUUAUAAUUAAUGUUAACAUUUGAUGUUUUUAGAUGUCAUAUAUUUGAAUAGAUGAAAAUUAUUUUGAUUUUCAGAUAUCAUAUAUUUAAAUAGAUGAAAAUUAUUUUGAACAUAACACAUUAAGAUAAUUUUGUUAGGAAAAAUUUUGGCCCCCUAGAAAAAAGUUUUGGCUCCGUCACUGUUAUAUGAGAAGUAAAAAAGUGAUUGAAAAGUGUGUUUACGGAAAAAGUUUUAAAAAAAUGCCUUCAAUUGCGGAUUGAAUACAGAAGUUUCCUAGGAAUUACGCUGAGGUAACAGAACCCUUCCCUAGCUUUAGUUUCCUUUUUGCACAAGUUUUCUUGGCUCGAAUGGAAUUUCCUUUCCAUUUCCUUGGACCCUGCUUGAAACGUACGAGGAAAUUUGACUUGUUUUCCACCUAUGCUUAUCAUGUCAAUGCAUACUGCUGUCUCAUCCAAAUUUGCUUCAUCUCAUGUUAAUUUCAAUUCAUCUAUGGUGUCGAUACAAAAACUUUAUUCUACAUAAAGUGUAGGAUCAUUUCGUACUGAAUUUCCAGCAAAUUUGUUCGAGAAAAACCAACCCACCAGGCAAAAGUAGCCGAACGAGAUGCUGGCAGGGGAAAUUUACAUGUUUCUCAUUCUUAAAGGAAAAUUUGGGAUAUUUCUACUGUAGCACUUUUUGUGAUGUGAUGUAUGUGAGAUAAAAGGAAAUUGGGAAGAUAAAAAGGUGUAUUGGAAAUUGUAAUGAUGAUAUAAACAAAUAAAAUUGGGGAAAUAAUGCUCAAUCCAAACAAACCCGUUACAUAAUUAGUUCUUGAGAAAAAAAAAAGAACAAAUCUUGAAAGUUGUUUAGCCCAAUUAUACACAGUUUCCUUGUUCUUUUAUCUCCCUUAACAUAUACUACUAGCAUACAUAAAUUGCAUAGCCAGUUCAACUAAGUUAUGGAACUUCAAUUUGCCCAUUAUAAGUUUUAAUUUUGGAUCAAUCUUUCCAACACUGUCAAUGUAUACAUUUAUAGGUUUAGAUACAUGUCACAUUAUCUCAAUUGAAUUUAAAUAUCAAAUUUUAUAUAUGUAACAUGCAUCUAAAUCCGCCAAGAUAAUAGUGACCGUGUACAAAACAUUUAUCCUUUAAUUUUACCAUUUUUGUCUUAAAGUCGUAUUGUUCCUUCAAAUUCUGUUAUCACGUGGUGGCUACUUCUUCUUGGCUACAUAUCAAUGGGCUUGGGUUUGAGAUACAUCUCAGUCUUUAGACGUCCAAAAUGAUUUGUCUAAGUCAUUGAACCACGUUGGGCCCAAAUUCGUCAAUUAGACUUUAUGGAUCUUGGCUAUUCUUUAUAUUCAUUAGCAGAAAAUCAUGAGUUUGCUUAUGAAUAUUGCGAAUAGCUCAAGAAGCAAGAAUUUGUAAUAUGUAUCCCAAUGUUAUGGUGGAGUCUAAUCAUUUUCUAAACUAACAAGUCAGCAUAAACUACUACGAAACUUUGUGAUAUUGCUGUUUUCCUAAUAACAAAUAGUAGAAGUUGUUUGAUUUAUUGGUAAGUGUAAAUAUUGAACUCAGCAAGAAUUUACCACAAAAGUACAUUACAGAAGCAAACUACAGAAGAUAUUAAAACGAAACUUUGAGUACACUACUCCAUUAUACAUGCAUUUGAAGUUGUUGGUUUUUUUUUUUUUUUUUUUGCAAAAAAAGCUUAUAAGAGACUUUUAUUGAAUCUUAAAAUGAACUUAUGUUAUUCAUUCAUCAAGUUACAAUUUAUAAUGAUUACAAGUAGUAAACUAACAAAAUAUCAUAUUAUCCUAAAAAUCUCAACAAAAACUACUUGAUAACAUGCAAAUCUUAGCUAAAAUAUUUAAUAACAAAUCAAUAUGAUUUUUUGAUUAAUAAAUAUUCUUAUUCUUCUGCUAACUAGUUACGCUCCGUUUGGAUUGGCCAUUUUUUUAAAAUAAGUUUUUUUAAAUAUAAUGCUACAAUAAUACACAAUAACUCAAAAAACAUCUCAUCCAUACAAUAUAUCAAAUAUUUCAAAAAAUUUUUAUUAUAAAAAUUUUUCAUAUAUACUGCUACAAUAAAAUUUUCAAAAACACCCCAAAAAAUAGUUAAUCCAAACGGAGCAUAAUUAUUCUGAACCUAAAUAUAAUCUAGUAAAUUUUGUAGGAAAAGUUGACAUAUUUCAACAGAAGUUCUUCCACUUGAGAUAACUGAACACUGGUCUGUCCGGAACAGGCAUGCACUUAACAAUCCAGCCAAUUGGCCAGGAUGCAGCUGCGAUUCCUAUACAAGCUCCCCAUUGCCCCCAAUUCAACCUUUCUGUAUUAGCAAACCUCUUCAAAAACUCCACCAUCACCACUUGAAGAAUAAUUGUUACUCCAAUAAUUCCCAAGAACAACUUGUUCCUGUGUAUCCCCUCAAACACAUUCUUACUCUCAAGUUUCCUUGCGUUGAACUCAUUGAACACUUGGCAAAGAACAAAAGUGUUGAAGAUCAACGUAGCGUUUACCUUUUCGCUAACACCAAAGAUUGAUUUUCCUUUGAACUGUAAUGUCAGCAAAACUGCUAUCUGAUACAAGGCUUGAGACAUUAAGUUCCUCCACAUGAUGUUGGUGAUGAGGGGUUCAGUACGCCCCACCGGAGGCUUGUCCAUCAGAUCCUUUGUUGGUCUUUCUGUUGCUAGCGCUAAGGCUCCAAGAGUAUCCAUGAUGAGAUUUACCCACAAGAGUUGAACUGCUGUUAAUGGUACUUCUCCAGCUGAAAUUGCUGCUACAAAGUUGAUCACUAGAGCUGCCACAUUCACUGUGAGUUGGAACUGAAUAAAUUUCUGGAUAUUGCUGUACACACACCUUCCCCAUGUAAGCACUGUGGCAACAGAAGCAAAAUUGUCAUCCAAAAUGACAAUAUCUGAACUCUCCUUGGCGACUUCAGUGCCCUGAAUCCCCAUAGAAAGUCCUAUAUCAGCUUCUUUCAAUGCUGGCGCGUCGUUUGUUCCAUCUCCAGUCACUGCUACAACAUGACCUUUCUCUUUUAAGCAUUUCACCAUGAGAUGCUUGUCAAAAGGAGACGAUCUCGCCAUUACAACAAUUUUAUCAACUUUUUCCAUCCGUUCCUCAUCUGUGUAGUUGCGAAAUUCGACACCUUCUACCACCAAUUCAUCGUUAGCCUCAAGAUCGGGCUUAAGUAUUCCACAUUCAGUGGCUAUUGCUCUUGCAGUGAAGACAUUGUCGCCAGUGAUCAUUUUGAUCUUCACACCAGCAUAUUGACAAUCUUCCACAGCUUUCUUCACACCGGGGCGACAGGGAUCCUUUAGGCCUACAAUCCCCAAAAGGAUCAAGUUUCUGUCUUCUAAUGUUUGCUGUAUUUCUCCACUGGCAUCAUUGGCUUCUGUUAUUUGCUUGUGAGCAAAUGCAAUGCAUCUCAGACUGCUAGCAGCCAUGCCCUGUAUUAUUUCUUCAAAUUUCUUCCUCUCAAGAUGAUCAAGCAAUGUCACUUCUCCUUCAAGGUUGUAGUAAUGCGAGCACAUUGCUAGUAUCAUUUCAGCAGCUCCUUUCCAGUGGACAUGAAUCGAGUUAUCCACCAUUUUCUUCAUCAACACUCCACUUCUUUUCUUCUGGGAAUUGAAUGCUUCGACAUGAAGAAUGGAGCAAUUCUGUUUUACUCUCUCCAUGUCCAUAUUUAAUUCCAUCACAGCCCAAGACAGAAUUGCUUUCUCAGUAGGACUUCCUGAGAACUCGAGGCCCUCAGUUCCUAAAUUAAUCGACCUAUAAACACUUCCUGUUGUGUUUAGGCUCACAGCUUCACGAAGCAAUUUAAGAACAUUGGUUGAGAUAGAAAGGUAGCUAUCAUUCUCUACUGAUUCCUUUCCCAGCCAAAAUUUUGUUACUGUCAUUCUAUUUAGAGUAAGAGUACCUGUUUUGUCUGUACAGAUGGUUGUAGCAGAGCCCAUUGUUUCACAAGCAGAAAGCUUUCUCACCAUUGCUUGAUCAGCCAUCAUUCUCUUCAUCGAGUAAGCAAGUGUAAGUGUUACAGCCAGAGGCAAACCUUCUGGAAUUGCAACAACUACAAUUGUUACGGCUGCAGCAAUAAUUUUCACCACAGCAUUGAUCACAUCAUCAGCCUUUGUUUUGCUGCCAUUGUACUCCUUGAUUCCAUUCGCGUCCUUUGUAUGACCAGUGAAGUAGCGAACUAAUAGCACCAAAAGAACUAAGAAAGCAACUGCUAAACCAACUUUACCAAUUGCUGAAGUUAGCUUAUUGAGGCGCGAUUGAAGUGGAGUUUUCUCAUUGGAGUCCUGGCUAACAGAGCUCAUCAUUUCCCCCCAAGUUGUGUUCAUUCCAACAGAAGUAACAAGCAUCUGACCAUAUCCAUCAGCUACUUUGGUACCAGAAGUCAAGAAUGGAUUCUGGUUUUGAUUAACUUCUAGAUGAUCACUUUCUCCAGUCAUGCUUGACUCAUCAAUGCUUAAGGAAUGCCCCUCCAAGAGUAAUCCAUCAGCAGGUACCUGAUCACCAAUCUUCAAGCGAACAACAUCUCCAACAACAAUUUCAAAGAUUGAAAUUUGCCGUCUCCUGCCAUUUCUCACAACUUCAACAGGGAUAUUGCUGCUGACCUUGGAAAGCUUCUCAAAUUGCCGGUUCUGCCUAAAAUUACUGAUAGCUGAAACAGAAAUGACAAGAAAAACAGCAACAAAUAUACUUCCACCAUCAUACCAUCCUUCUUUCGGACCAUUCUCUUUUAUCCCAAAACUAAGAGAUAGUGCAGCACAUGCCAAAAGAAUGGCAAUUGUAGGAUCUUGAAAAGCUUCCCAAACAAAAUGGAAGAAUCCCUUUUUGGGAGGCUUACGAUAUGUGUUGCUACCAAAAGCUUCAGUUCUGCGUAAAAUAUCUUCGGCAUCAUCACCAUUUAAUCCAUGCUGAACUUCAGUAUUGAGAGAAGUAGCUAUACCUUGAAUACCACCUAAUUGGUCAAGCUGACCAAGGCUUUUCUCCUUGACAAGCUUUGUUAGAGUUGUCUGAUCAACCUUGCAAGGGCUGGGGGGAACUUCGGCGAUAUCGAUGAUAACUGCGUGUGAAGGUACUGGUGAAAUCUUGCUCUUUCUACGACUAAGAACAUUUUUGAGGGCCCUUGAACAAUAUAUGGUCAGAAAAGCAGAGCCCCAUUUCUUUUUGGUUUUGUUGAGUUUACUAAGGCGCACAACCAGGUUAAUGCAGGACAAAUUUGCAUCAACUAUUGGAGGCAUAAUUUCGAAAGCCAAUGAUAGCUGGCAAGAAAAAGAAUGUUAAGAUUUUCUAUCUCACACAAGAUAAAAGACAAGGUUCAGAAAUCGGAGGGAGAUAAAAGCUAAUGGUUCACGAUCUCAACCAAUUUGACUAGCUGCAUGAAAAGAUUUUAGAAAAACUGUUGCAUGAGUUGGGUGUGUUGGUUGAUGCAAUACCCGGUGCUGAUUGUAUUUAUAGAAGCAGAAGCAUAUGAUGUGAACCGUCAUGCAUAAAGCAUCUGUUUCUUUCUCGUCCGAAGGUCUUAAUACAUUUGAACCUUGGCUUUUCAAAUGUAAUGAGAAAGACGACUGAAAAGAGCUGGAAAUUCCUAAUAGUAAUGAGCUGUGUUUAUUCCAAAUAUAUAGUGUGUUUAUUCCAGGAUAAGAAUCUUCUAAUACUUAGAAUGGGAAAAACACGGCGGUUAUAACGUGUGUGACGCGCCACGCGGUUUCUUCACUGCCACGUUUUCUUUAUCUUCGUUUAUUCAUUUAAUUUUUUUUUCUUGUUUGGGAGAUAAUUUUCCUUAAGAGGUCUAUUAAAAGAUUGAACAAGCGCGUAGUAACCUUGAUUUUGUUCAAACAAAAAUCACCCUUCAAUUAAAUUUAUUAUUCUCAAUAUAAAACUUAACGUAUCAUUUGAAGUGAAGGCAUACACAUUCAUAAUUAAUUAUUAUUGACUCUAUCCUCUAUUUAAAUACCUUUCUAACCUAAUUUUACUUUUACAAAUAAAUUAACACAUGAGCCGCUUUCAAAUGAGCACUCAUUCGGGAAGCGUUCAAUCACAACCACCAUUAGCCUUGUCUUCUAAGCAAUUUCCAGCAAAAACGCGUUCAGAUAUAGGUAGCUGAAAAAUGUGAUCACGAAAAAUGAUGUAAUUUUUUGACGCUGUUCAAAUAAGGCGUCAGCCUCUUAAGAAUAUAAACAUAAAACCAGCAGGAUGGAUUUCCCACAUCAGUUUUGCAUGUCGGGAACGUGGGAAAAAAAAGACGGCCGUCGCCAGAUUUUCGUUGGCCAACUCUCUGCCUCUGUGGUAGAUGUUGUGUACCUAAUCCCGACAUCUGCAUUAACUAAAACUCCCAACUUUCUCAUCGAUCCCAAUUUGUUUGCAAACAAAUGUAACGUCCUUAGAGCUUCUAAGUUUUUGAGUCAUAACAGUUGGUUCCUGCCGAUGUCACUAUGGUUACUCGAUAGUUCCCAUGCAAACUAUUUGAAGCCUGUUGUCAUUUCACUGCCAAUAUUAGUCAUAAAAUGCUCCCAAAAGUCAAUUAUUUUGGCCUCUUAAUUCAGAGGCUAAUCUUAUGUACCUUCCGAUGUAAUCUUAUAAGCACCAGCAAGAAUUUAUACUACCAGUUGGAAAUGACCUCGGAAACUGCAGCUUUCUUACGGUCCAUUUAUUGCUGCGUUUGGAUUAGUUGUUUUGUCAGAUAUAUGUGAAAUUUUUUUUAAAAUACUUGAUAUAUUAUAUAAAUGAGAUAUUUUUAAAAUUAUUAUGUAUUAUUAUAAUAUUAUAUUUAAAAAAUUUGCUUUUAGAAAAGAAGACGGAUAGAGAGAGGUGUGUGUGUGUUGGAUAUAAGCUCCUCGGCUCAACCCAUAAGUCAGCAUAUGCCUUUUGGGUUGGGUCGUGGGUUUAGUUUAUAUCCGGUGUGUGUGUGUUUCUUAACUAAGGUAUGAGGGGGGGAAAAGAAGACGGAUUACCCAUUGAGAAGAAUCGAGUGGCAAAUGUCGUGCUCCUUCCGGGGAAUCAUUUGGAGUGUCAGCACUGAGGAUAAGAUCGGGACCAUUUGAUUGAUGCCCAUGAUUGACUUUUUGUUUGACUUGGCUUCACUCCUCAGAAAUGCCAUGAAAAGACGGAGGAAUAUUAAAAGGCCAUCAUACUAGGUUGUUAGAGCGUUCAUAUACCUACCAGGACUGUAAAUGUGUCGAACUUAACAGGCUUGAAUUCGAUAGAACUUUCAAUGUACAGUAAGAAUUUGAGUUCAAAUCUAAUUGAGAUCAAAGAAAAAUAAAAAAUUGUAUGGAUAGAGUAUUAUUCCAAAUAAUUAUUUAGAAUAAUUACUAUAACACUUUUUGUGACGUGAUGUAUGUGAGAUAAAAAAGUGAUUGCAAAUAUAAAAAAAUGGAUUAGAAAAUGUGUUUAUGAUGUAAGCGAUAUUUUUUUUCAAAAUAAUUACCCAUCCAUACAAAGCCGAUCUUUUUUUUUUUUGGUAAAAAAUAAAAAAGCCCGCUGUGGUAAGGCUAAUACAUAGAAAAGCCCCUUAUGCUUUCAAAAUAUACAACACGGCACCUCAUACAUUGAACUAAAUUGUAAAGGUGACGGAAUCCGUUAAAUUUAACGGAAAUGACUUAUUAGAACUUAAAAAAAAAAUUUUAUACCUAAUUUUUAUCCAAUAUACCUAUUCUACCCCUUAACCCUCAAUUCUCUCUAUUUAGAGAAUAAAACAAAUGAUUUUUUUGAGUUGUCUUUUGCUUUAUUAUACCAGGGCAUUUUGGUCAUUUUGUUCAUUUCCGUUAAGUUUAACGGAUUCCGUCACCUUUACAAUUUAGUUCAAAGCAUGAGGGGUCGUAUUGUAUAUUUUGAAACCAUGGGAGGCUUUUCUGUGUAUUAGGUUUAUCACAGGGGGCUUUUUUGUUUUAACAUGAGUGAAAUAAACAUUUUAUUUGGGAAAUAAUAAUGGUAGGAAAAACCUACAUGUAAUUUUACUAUUAAUUAAAAAAAGUUUAUUUAACAUAUGGUACAGAACUGGCUUGACAAGCCAAUGGACAAAGUAUCCCUAUACUUGAGCCGGACUCAGACGAACUUGUUAAGUCAAUUCGACUAAGUCGGUUCCCAGUAACUCAAUUUGCUCGCAACCUCGUAUACGACCAUAGAAUUGGAAAGGGACGUUCUUGUAAUGAAAAGUCCUUGAGUCGACAAUUUUUCGUUUCAUGAAAACUCACUUGCCAUUUCCCUGUAACUCACUUCUUUUAAUGAACCUUGUGUAUGUUCAUAGAAUUCAAAAGGGCCAUUCUUGUAAAGCAAAGUCCUGAGUCAACAAUUUUUUUGGUUUCUUGAAAACUCACUUGCAAAUUCCAAAGAGACUCUCUGAGAGUGCUGAUGGUUGGUUGUGGACAUGCGCAAGCAAAGAUGAUGCAAAGGGUCGGACGUAGUUUUGAGUGUUUCAGCAUCCCGUAAGCUACUUUGUCACUGGUGGUCAAAGAAACAGACUUUCCACUCCUGCGAAGAUUUUGGAGCAGAUAAUUCGCAUCAGCAUGGUGCGGUAAGCACUCCGCGAAAUGCGUAAAGAAAUUUUGGGUGCAAGACUUGUAUAUAGGGUCACGGUCUUUCUACCCGAGGGCCAAGAUUAGUGAGAAGGCAGUGUUGACUGCUAAGAUUGUCAAUUAAUGAACGAUGCAAUUUUGCCCUCUUCGGCCCUCUUUUUAGUUUUUACUCAUCACUAAAACGGGACGGGUCUGCAAGACUCUCAAAUAUUAACUUGUGGCUUUGUCCAAGGGAAAAAAACGUAAAGAAAAUAUGCAAUUAUAUACUACUUGUUAUCAAGGGUAUUUCUACAAACUUUUUGACAUGAUGUAUAAUUAGAUGUACACCAAAAAAAAAAAAAAAUUAGUGGAGGAGCCGAUAUAAAUGUACUCUCAAAUGUAUAAAAUUGCACUGUGUAUGUCAAUUAAUCAUUCUAGUGCACCCUUUUCACACAUUUUCCAAUGUAAUAAGUGAAAUCAUCACCAAAAGAUGCUGUGAAACUACGAAAUAAGUUUUAUCUGUUGCACGAGACAAUUGUAUGAAAGUGAAAAGAAACUUUGAAGAAAAAAAAUGUGUGAUUUCUUAAAGCUUUAAAAGAGGUUGUGCAAGUGGCUUGCAAAAUCUAUGUCUAGGAAUAAAGAUCCACUUUCUGCACUUUGUUGAAGUAUUUCCCUCAACUUCUUUUUUUUUUCAUUAUUUUUGUUGGACCAAUCGUUUGAAUCACUCACUGUACAAGGAAAUCAACAUCUUGGAGCUCUGCAAGUACUCUUAGAUUUCCAUCCCGGAUGGCAUUAGCCAGCAAGUACUCUUAGAUUGCCUUCCAAAUAAUUUCUCAUGAAACCAACUAUAAUUCCACCAACAUAUCUUAUCAUGGGUUCUCUGGACAUCCCUUUUUUGCACAGGCAAUAUAUGGACUUCAUUCGAAUCCCUGGAGCGCCAUCAUCUUGCAUGUCAAAUAACAGACAACCAAUGGGUUAUCUGUUGGAGUUUGAUAUUGAUUGCUGAUGGAUAAUUUAAUAGGAUUUAAUAAGAAGAUCAUAAAAAUCCAAAAACUACUUUUGCGCCAUUGUAAAUCUGCCCUGAAUUAUGUGAGUUUGGAUAGGUCUUCCAAAAACUCGUCUGUUUUUGGGAUGGCAUGGAGCAAAUUGUACAUUAUGAUUUGUCAACUAUCUAUCCUCUUGCUCCUCUUAAGCUUUCUGUGGGGAGCAUCAUCGGGGGCGCAUGUGUCUUUGAUUCUGUCGUCCGCAAACAAGCUAGAUCAAUCCUGGAUAACUAUGAAGAAAAAGUGAAGAUCUCAACAUGGCGAAGCCAAAGAAGAUAUGUUUUCACCAAGAACUUAAUAGUUCUUCAGGAGAAUGGUGUGUCUGGGUUUAAGGGAAUGUUGGUAUAGGGGACCUUAAUUGACUUCUUUUACAUGGUUAAAAGCUACAGGUCACUGCGAUGAAUAAAGGUCUCAAUUAAAGCAUGUCAAAACACCUUAAGGAAUAGGAUGGUGUAGGGAAUCCCAAACACAUCUUUUAUAGCAUUGGAAUUAGGUAUUUUUGUAAACGGAUAGGUUUUGAAUUGAUUUCUUUGAUCCAGAUCCAAACUCAUUUAGACCCCAAAUUCAGAUCCAGACCCUUUUAAAUUUGAAAAAAUAAAUUCAUAUCCAAACCCUUAUGGAUCUGGGUAUUCAAUGGGUAUCUAUGGGUAUUUUCUGAACAUAUUAAAGUAAAAAUGUAUUAAAAAUAUAUAGAGUUCAUAAAUAAUAUAAAUACAUCUAAUUUUUGUUUUCACCUAAUAAAAUUAACAUUCGACAAGUUGAAUGUAAUAAUGUGAAUUCAAAGAAAAAAUUAUUAUUGACUAUUUCUAUAUGUUUUCAAAGAUUCAAUUUCAUCCACAUCUAAUAUUUCAUUCGUUCGCCUUUACUUUUUAUUCUUUUCUUGAAAAAAUUUGUACCAAUUACAAUGAUAAUUAGGAUUAGUUUUUAAAAAAGUAAACAAUUAUAACAUAUAUAAAUAUUCAGCCUUAUUAAAAAAAUAUAAUUUUGUACCACUUUUUCUCAUUUAAGCUUCAAUAUUGAUUGAUGUCUCGCAAUCCAGCACUAAAAUAGUGAAUGAGAUAAAAGUUAUUUGACUAAGGAUCGAUGACAAAUAAAUAAUAGAAUAAGAAAAUUUAUAAACACGUACUCAUUUCUUUUUAUUCAAUCCAAUUAUCAGUAGUCACUAAUAUUUCAAUCAUAUCUGAAAGCAAUUUAGCACGAGUUUCAUCAAUCAUCCAACCACCAAUACUAAAUGUAAAUUCUGAUGCCAUGAAAUCUUACUGUAUUUGAUCCAAUAGCUAUAAAAUAUUAGAUUAUUCUAUAAAUUUACUAAUAUAUAUAUAUAUUAUUUAAUUAUAUAUAUAUGAUUUUGGGUAGGAUUUGGUAUGGGUUUGAAUUUAAAUAUGAAUUCUAGAAAAUCAAAUCCUACCUAGACCCAUGACUCUCUCACAUGGUUAGGAUCUGGGUUUGGAUAGGGCUCUGCUUUAAGAAAUUAAAUCCGAACCCUAUCUAAAUAUAUUGGAUCUGAGUUAGAUAUGGGUAAGAUCCAACCCAUUAACAUGCCUAGAAUUAAGAAACCACUUAUCCCCUUCCAGAGUAUCCUAAAAGAUGAUUGCCUAUGCAAUUAAGAGCCUAUUGCCCCUUCUAAGUUCCUUCUGUAAAAUGGAGACUACUCUCUAAAAAGAAAUUUUUUUUGGAUGUCAAGUAGUCAAUCCUUGAGUUUCUAUAUAUAUUUCCAUUAACCCACUUUUCAAGUAAAUUUGUGUGGCAAAGUUUAAGAAUGAUUUCUAUUUUAUCUGUUAGGUCUGAUCCCAAAAAAUUGACUAACAAGAAUAAUAAGAUUUUUGUCAACUCAAUAAUAAUAAUAACAAAACAAAUAAAUCAAAUAGAGAAACACGAAAUUUUACAUGAUUCGAUUAAAUUGAUCUACGUUCACGGACAAAAGAGUAGCACAUUUACUAUAACAGAAAGAGAGUACAAAAAGAGAGAAUAUAAAAUGAUGCGGUUGAGCACGAGACACAUGGUGUUCAAGUAGAUCCUGUGAAGGUAUCCAAGACUCAGUAACACGAGCACGAGCUAAGAGAUUCAAGGAGUCCCUCCAAGCCUUGGUCCGUGCCGUCCAAGCCUAAGAGAAACUGGUCAUUGAAGGAUUUGAAUUGGAAGAUCCUUGCACGACUACUAAAAUGCUGCUUACAAUUGAAGAUGCAAGUGUUCAAACUCCAAACGGCGGGCUGAGCCGCAGUUAAGUAUCCUCGCUGAUGAUCAAAUGAUCAAAUGCUUGACAUCUUGAUCAAAUGCAACGAAGUAGGAAAGCUAAUGUGAUAUUAUUAUUUCAAUCCUUUCACUAUUAUUUUAUACUGCUAUUUCAAUCCAACAUGUGGGAGUUAACUAUGUAUAUCUCGAGAAUUCUCACGUCUCUUGAAUUAAUAAAGUUAAAGGAUUCUUUGCUUAUUUAGGUGCGGUAUGAGUAACACUUUCAGCUCUGCCCCGCUGCGUUAGAUGCAGCGCAUUAUUACUGUACCGUGGAAUGCGUAGCACUUGUAGUAAAACAUAAUACUAAUUACAAGGUAGAAUCUGUGUCAUUCUCCUUCAAAAAAAAAAAGAAAAAAGAAAAAAAGAAUCUGUGUCAUUCGUGGUACUGAUUUGUAAAAUGUCAAUUACUGAGCAUCAGAAACGUGAAAUUUCAGCCAUCAAAUAAAAUUGUUCCUGAAAAUUUUCUUUAUAGGUAUAUGUUAUGGAAAUAAUGUUACUAAUUAUAGUUAAAAUAGUUGAGAGUUAGAUAUGACAAUGAAGCCAAGGAUAAUCUGGUUCCAAACUUUAAUUCGUUUUCUGGAUUCUUAUCCUUCUAUGCCAAACUUUUCUGCUUUGUGCAUAUCCGAAAGGACUGCAGAAGGUUAUAUUAUAAUGCUAUACUGAGAUCUAAAAGCCAUUCCAUUUUUGUAACAGACACUAAAUACAGGCAAAUAAUUAAAACAAAAAUUGAACAGAUGGCUCAAGCUCUAGUUAAAAAGAAGAUUAGCUUAUCCGGAUGAGUGAGCAAUUUAUGAUUAUUUUCGUAAAUAAUGUCAGUCAAACGGAAACAUCAAUUUUACAUUACAAACAUAGUUUAAGGACUACAUGAGCAAUUUCGUUUAUUAUUGUUCUUUGCCUACAAAUUAACAGUUUUUUAGCUAUAUUUCAUUGCAUCUUUGAGCUUAGUAAUCCUCACUUCUUCCUUUCUUGUUAAAAAGAAAAACAAUUAUCACAAUUUUACCUUUUUUUUCGUUACACUUUUUAACGACUACAACUAUAAGGAUUACUUUCGAUGAAAUUUAAUCCAGCCAAUCUGAAGUGUAUAACUGAAGAUUCCAGUAAGUUGUUUCUACUUUUUUUUUCUUCUCUUGAUAAGAUUGUAAUUAAUCCAUGAUUUUAGAACUAUUACAAUCAAAUUACAACUCAACCCGCAAAAUAGUUAAAUUUAAAUCCAAGAUCUCUAAUUUCUUAUAGCUCAACUGGUGAAUGUUGCACUCAAAAUUGACAGCACAGCUAUGAAUAUUACGAUAUAUGCACGAAGAAAAAGUAAACUGCUAGUAAUUCAAUCAAGCUUCAGUAAUUCUUGAGUCUCGACUGUCCUGCCUCUCAAUUCCAAGGUCGAUCAAAACUAACAAAAGAAAAAAUUGUGAGACUCGGAAGUCAACGGACGUAACCCAAAAUUCCACAAAGUCACCAGAGCCCAAGUCGUCUCUCAGUCUCCCUAGCACAUAUUAAAUGACAAAUAUUUGCACAUAACUACUGGGCAGAGAGGUGCAGCAAGUAUGAAUUGAUCAGUUGAGGUGCUACUUUGCUUAAUUCAGGUUAGACAUGCUUGUUUCUUCCCCCUCUGCCUCAAAUUAUGCAUGCAUUCCGAGACAAUGCAGUUCUAUUUGUUGGGUUUGUAUGAACUCGAAAUUGCAUGUAUUGAUUGUGUUUUUGAUGGGUUCUUUAGAACUGCUAGUAGCAUAAUGCAUGAUAUAUUGCCUCGUUGACUUCCUUUCCUGGCCUAAAAAGUUAAGCCAAAAGGAGAGAUGUUUAUAACGUUUUGUUAAAUAACUACUGCAAACAGAGGAAAGCAUAUCUACCAGGGAGGAAUAAAGCAUGAAUAAAAGAAAUCUGAGAUGUUUGUAAAACCCAUCUGAACAAUUUUACUGUAGUUGAAAGCUUCUGAAUUCUUAUUCCGUUGGACGGAUUUUGAAACUUCCCUGUUAUGUUUCUAUUUAGUUAGACCUAGGACAACUUCACUUAAUUACUGAGGAUAAUUAUCUUGUUCAACAAUCUAUGCUCCAUUACAGCAUUUUCUUUUUCUUUUUCUUGUUUUUGAAUAUUUUCUGAUACAUAGGCUGUCAUGUUAACCAAAUCAAUUUAGGAGAACGAAUUUGGUUUUGGCACAUUUCGUUGGAUUGGACGGCUGUUGAACUUUGGCUGCACCUUUGAACUUGUGUCUUAUGAACUUGGUUCUCUUAUAGGUAGUAUGUAAUCUAGGUUAUAAGAUCAUAGAUCAAUUAAUGAACCAAUGGAGCGAGACGUUUUAGAUGUUUAUGGUUUUUAACUGCAACGGCAGUUUAACUUCUUCACCAGAGCCUUCGUUACAAAUUGAAUCUGGUGCCUGACUCUAAAUCUGCCCUGAACUAGGUGAGUUUGGAUAGGUUUUUCACUAAGUUUUUGCGAUGGCAUAGGGCAACUUGUUCUAAUAUGGUACUUGUCUACUGUCCAUCCUAUGUUUGCUCUUGAGCUUUCUGUGAGGAGCAUCAUCAGGACGUUAGUCUCUGAUUCUGCCGUCAGCUAAUAAGUUGCAUCAAUCCUAGAUAAGUAUGAAGAAAAGGUAAGGUUUCAACAUGUCAAAGCCAAAGAAGAAAUGGAAUUAGCCAAGAGUUCAAAUUUCUUCAAGAAAAUGGUACGUGUAUGUUUGACAAAGAUGUUGAAUGAUUGCUUCUAAACAGUUCAAACCUGCUGGUCUACAAAAUGAAUAAAGAUCUCAAUUAAGGUAUGUCAAAAUGUCUAAAAGAGAAAGAUGUUUGAAAACCUUAAUAGCUACAAACUCUUGUAUUGGAUAGGAAUUAUGAAUCCACAACUGCUGCUUCUGAUAUUGUAAAAUUUACCAUUUUGAGUUACAGUAAGGUUCAUGAUUGCUCUUUUCGACUUUCGGAGUAUCCUUGUAGCUGAUCUUCCUGUUCUGCCCACUUAUUUGGACGCACAUAUUGCCCUGUCUAUCUUCUUUGUGUAAAAUAGAGUUUACUUUCUUACAAUCAGUUCUUUUAAGUUCUAUAUAUUUCCAUUUACCCAACUUUCUUAGUAAAUUUCACGAGACAUUGAGUGCAAGAAUGGUUUCUGUUAUACAGUCCGUAUAAAGCAAAGAAAUAUGAAGGUUUAUAUAAAUUUAGCUAUUUCAAUACUUUCAUGUAUUUUAUAUGACUUGGCAUCUGGGAGUUAACUUAGAUCUUGAGGAAUUGGUUACAUCUUCCAAACAAUAAAGUUCAGGAUUUUUUUUCUCAUUUAACUGUUGUAUUAUUGCUAGGAUUACACCCCAAAACAUUUUCCUUUUAUGUAUCCCUUUGAAGAAGUUUCCUUCAACUCUUUUCGAGUUGAAUAUGACAAAGAGCGGCCAGAGAACAAGGAGAAAUUUCUAAUUUUGUGAUGAAUUUUAAAAAAAUUCUACAAAAGGGGUGAUUUUGGCAAUGGAUUCCGUCCGGGGGUCUUCGCAUUCGUGAAAUGCGAGGUUAAAGUAGAGCUCGCAGAGCUCGCAUUCGCGAAAUGCGAGCUCUACUUAUUGAGUUCGCAUUUCGCAAAUGCGAGCUCUAAUUUAAAUUUUUUUCCUUUUUUUUUUUUGGGAGCUAGAGAAUUUUUUCCAGAAAAUAGUAAGAGCUAAAUGCGAGCUCCUAAAUAUUUUUUUUUUAAUUUUGCAAAUAGCUCGCAUUUGAUAAAUUUGACCUCCAAAAAUUGUAUUUUACUUUUUUGUUAGAUUUCACAUUUAUAAGUAUAAGUUUCAGAAAAUUAAAUUCAAACUUGUUAGGAAAAAAUUUAAAAUGAAAUUUACGAGCUCCAUAAAAAAUAUAAAAUUAAAUGUAAAUAUUAUUUGUUUUGUAGAAUUUGCCUUUACUAAAAUGCUAUCGGUAGUAAAAUCUUAUUUUAAAAUCUCUACUAAAAUUUCUACUAAAAUCUUAUAUUUCGGAGAAAUGUUAGAGAAAUUUUAUUUAAAAAACUGUAAUUAGCAGAGGAAUAAAUUUUUUUUAUUUUAAAACUUGCACGUGCCUAAAGUCAUCAAAUAUGUUCUCUAAAAAAAAAUCAUAUUCACAAUAAUCUUUUUAGUAUAAUUUACUAUACAUGCAUAAUUCUUUUAUAAUAAAAAAAUUGGUAAUUGUACGGUUGGAAAUACGUUAUUUUAUUAUAAUACAUUUAAAUGGUGGAAAAAGUACACAUGCAUAGUUCCUUCUAUUUCAUAGAUCAAUGUAAAAAUAGAAUGAAAUUGUUAACAUGUAAGGUGUUGACUAUUUUUUAUGAAUAAAAUGUUAAGUUUUUUUCCUUUUUUAUCAAAUAAAUUAUUUUGAUCAAAUUCUAAUUUUCCUUUGUUAUUAACUAAUCGUAUUUAUUUGUUGACACCGAUGAAUAUUAGUUAUAAGAAUCUAAUAGUUAAUAGUCAUUAAUAUAUGUUAUAAUUUCAACUGUAAUUUUAGAAAUUUCAUAACGCGAUGUUAUUUAAAAAAAUUAUAUAAGUUAUUUUUAUGAAGUGCAUGUUAUAUGUUUGGUAGUUGAAAAGGAAAAGAAAAAAAUUAAAGCAAAGAUCUAGCGAUUAAAUCUUGCGUGUUUUACCUUUUACAAUUAUUGGUAGGAUUACUAUUUUGAUUAAAAAUAUAAAGCGAUAAUCAAGACAAAGUUAUUGUCAUGCAAAAAUCCUAAAACCCUAAAUGCUGAAGCCGUAAAACACUAAAUCGUAAAUCUUAGAAACCAAAUCCUUGUAAACCCUAAAACAUUAAAUCAAUGUUGUUGGGUUUAUUAAAAUUCAUUAAAAAAUAUUGUUGCGGCACGAUAGGAUUACUAUUUUAAUUAAAAAUCUAAAGUCCUAAUCAAGGCACACAAAUUGAAGAUCAAACUCACCAAAUUGAUGUUUUUGAUUUCAAAAAACUCAGGGUUAAUGCUCACAAGAGUAGUUGGGAUGUUUUUGUGGUGAAAUUUCAGAAGAUUAAUGGGCAAAAUGGAAGAUUGGUCAAGGAGGGUUAGGGUUUCGGUGAGAGAGAAGGAGAAGAAAGCUGAAAAGUGAGGAACCGAACCCGCGGUUCCAUUCAUAUCGCGAAGCGAUCCGAGGUCGGAUCGCUUAUCAAUGCCCUCGGAUCCGACAGGGGCUCGGAUCCUCACCGCCAGAAGCACAGACGAGCCGUCGGAUAUGUCUGGAAUUUCUUAGAUCCGAGUUCGAAUUAAAAGAUCCGCGGUCGGAUCCAACUGGAUUUUUCGGAUCCGAGCUCGGAUCUGUAUUUCUCUGCACUAAUUGCAGAAACUGCAAUUUUUCAAACUUUUUCUCCCUUUUCCGGCCAAUUCCAAAACACGCUUUGGACUAACGUUUUAUCAAUUCUAACCUCCCACGCACAUGUAAUAUACCCAAAAUACAAUAUCCAAUCUCUCAAAAUACAUUAAACACAUCUUCAUUGAAAAUUGAGGGGUGAGGUUCUUUGAUCAUUUUCUUGCAUUGUUACACCAAAAUGGCACCUUUGGGCAUUUAUGCACAUCAAAUGAGUCCAUGAGCAUUUAUAAACAUGUUAUCACCAAAACUCACCAAAAUAUAUUUAAAAUGCAACAUUGUAUGUAUGCUUGCCAAUUCUAAACAAUGUGAAGAACGAAGUUAGGUUAUAAAACCUCACUUUUUUUACACUUGUUCUUCAAUUGCAUAUUCAAGAUGGAAGUUCUGACAUGUAACUAAUUUACCGUGUAUAAAAUAGAUGAGAGGUUAGUAUAAUCCAUAAGAGUACUCAUAUAAAGUGAGAACUCAUAUAACCUACAUUUUUUUGUCAUAUUCACAAAAGAGUACUCAUAUAAAGUGAGAACUAAGAUACGCGCGAUGGCAUUGUUCCACUCAUAUUCGUGAAAUUUUAGAAUAUAUACAAAAUGUCACCAAAAGAGUAUGCAAUCCAUAAGUUAGGUUGUUUAUACAAUAACGAUAUAAGUAGCAUGCCAUCAAUGCUGCCCAAGUCUUCCAUGAGUACCACAUGUUGUUGGUUUGGGUAUUCUUUGAUUUCACCGUGGUCGGUUUGGCACUACUGUAUGGAUUUGAGUAAUAUGUGUCAACAGUGUACCAUCUUGAAUUUGAGUGCUUGUGCCUUCACCUCAUUCACAUUGCUCAGAAGUAUGCCGAUAUGAGUCCCUAUCGGGCGUAAACUCUGGAAAAGUAAUAGGGGAUCUAAAAUGCCCAAUCGAUACAUCUCUUUCAUGCAUGACUUCGAUCUGAGGUGUGACAAAAGUAGAUGCGCCAGCUUGGUCCUCAGUAGCCAUCGAACCUCCAUGGAAUCCAGUUUGUAUGACGGGUUCUGGUGAUCGGAGUCUACGACGUCGUCCACCGCCAUGCUGACUUCCCUGGGUAUUUCUAGGAGCUCGCUCAACACGACAUGGAUCAGGGUAUAGUGGAAUCUCCUGUGGUACGUGGGCAGGGCGAAAUGCAAGUCGGCGUGACUCUCCUACAUGAUGCAAAGAUGUGGAUGCAAAGUCCCUCAACUCCUGAAAAUAUCUGCUGUGUUGUUCAUCACUAACUACAAGAGAGUCCUGUGCCAUGAAAUACAUGCGAGACAUGGCAUCGCUCUAAAAAAAUAAAUAUAAGAAUUAGAAGGAGAUACUGUGGUAAAAAAUAGUUUAAAAAGUGAGCAAACUCAAAGUGAUUCCACUAAGUGGGUUGAAAAUAAACUUACAAGAUAUUAUGCCCUAACGCUAUCACCCUGAAAGCUCUCUGAGAAAGCGAAAAAUCGAUUCGAAUUUGAAAUAUAAAUCACCGUCCGCUCCCGAUACCACUGAACAUACUCAUCCGAUGGAUAUGUAGUAUCUUCAAUUACAGUGGCAUCUUGUACAUGAACACGUCGCUCAGUCCAAAUAUCAAUAUAUUAUCUAUGCAUGGUGUUCCAGUCUUGAUUCGCCCUACCACGGCGAUCUAGAGAAUGUAGAGCUGCCUGAUUAUCCGUCAACCUCAUAUCAGGUAGGGACUGAUGAAACCCAAACUGCCGCAUAACCCGAUGAGGGAGGUGCGGCUCAACUACAUCCCAACAAAUAAGAUACGUUACGGACCUUCAAAUGUCCCGACCUGCAGUACAAUAUGCAGGAAGAGAAGCGAGAACGUCCUCCGAAUAUGGCUGUCAUAUGAACUGAAAAAAAUAUAAAAUCAAAAUUGUUUCAUUUUUUCUAUUAAGAAAUAAUAAAACUUCCCAAUAUUCAAUUCUAACAAUUUCAUGAAAAAAGUGCUCGUCUGCGGUAAAUUAAAAGAUUAAAAAAAGUGCCCGACAAAUUGUGAAAAGUACAGAAACGAGGCUUCGAUUCUACUAUAUCCUUAGGAUCCGUGCUCGGUUCGCAUCUGAAAGGGUGCGGAUCCGGCAUGGUUCGGAUCCGCACCGCCGGAAGCACAGACGAGCCCUCAGAUCUAUAUGAAGCAUUUUUGGAUCCGACCUCGGAUGAAUCGAUCCGCGCUCGGAUCAAUCGAUCCGUGGUCGGAUCCGUCUGGGCACUUAGGAUCCGAGCUCGGAUCUGCAGUUUCUCUGUACUAAUUGCAGAAACUGCAAUUUUUCAAAUUUUUUCGGAUUUUUUUCGGCCAAUUCCAAAACACGCAUUGAAAAAGCGUUUUAUCAAAUCUAUCAUCCCACGGACAUGUAAUAUACCAAAAAUACAGUAUCCAAUCUCUUAAAACACAUCAAACACAUCUAAAUUGUAAAUCGAAGGGUGAGGUUCUUUGAUAAUUUUCUCAUUUUACACAAAAAAUAGGACUUUUGGCCAUUACAUGCACAUCAAAUACUAGUCAACCAUUAUUAAAAGGCAUUUAUGAAUUUCUAAAAAAAAUUCGGCAGAGUCUCCCCUAUAAUUGGAGGUUAACUCCCUGCCAACAAACUCAAUUUCCAUUCACAAAAUGCAGUAUGAUAAAUUUAUGCUUUGGAUUGACAAAAAAUUGGCAGAAAAGACUACUGGCACGAUUGUCAAAAAUUCCUAUUGUCCGGACAUAUGUACAAUACCUCUUCAGGACGCAGGCCUGUCAACUGAUCUCGGAAUGCGGGCACAACAUGCCUAACAACCCUGUGUACGUCCAAGUCAUUAUUCCACCUAUAUUUAAUAAAGUAGGAACCUGUUUAGAACAAAUUAAAGUUGGUUCGAUAACAAAUGUCAUUAAAACAACCGAAAUAAGGGCGAAACGCGCACCUAGCUCCAUAUGGACCAGGGUAAUGCUCCAACGGCGCGAUUCGGUCCGGACGCAUGGUGGAUAUAUGUUCCCAAAUCCAGAGCUGUUAGAAAAUUAGAAUCAAUGUUAAAAUUGUAAAAUGAUAAAAUGCAAAAAAUCGAAGAUGUGAAUCCCUAUUGGGUGCAAUGUACCUGUAGCAAAACUAAUGGACCGGCAAUAGCCGAUUUGGCAGGAUGCGUGGCAUCACAAAGUGACCGAUAGAGAGUCGCCAAACGCGCACUACCCCAACUAUAUUGUCCAACAGUUUUCAAGUCCCGCAGUAAUGGAAGAUACAACAAAGGGACUUUGUUGCCGGACUUAUCGGACAAUAAAUGUCCACCUAAUAUCAGUAAGAGGUAGAUGCUCGCACGCUGCCUACAUUCGGCAUCUGAAGCAUCGGGUGGCAACUCUGUAUCCAAGACUCUUGCUAAACAUCCCAAUUUUAGCCUCUGUUCAUCAAAGUAUCCAACUGCAGGAGAAAAUCCAAUGAGCUCCUCACAAAUGGCUCCCCACUCCUGAAUGCUGCGGUAUGUGUCUACCCCUAUAACCGGUGGACCAUCGAUGUGCAACCCCCACAACACCUCUACAUCCUGUAAUGUCACGGUAGCCUCUCCAACCAGUAAAUGGAAUGUAUGUGUCUCGGACCGCCAUCUCUCCACUAAACUUGUGAUCAAAGAGUGAUCAAUCAUCUGAUAUCCACUCUCUAGCACCCCCUCAAAUCCAACCAAGACAAUAUAACGACAAACCCGAUCAGGAAUAGGCGUAUGCUCCCAAAAUCCUCUGUCACACCAUUUGACAUCUAACUGAUUGCCCUCAAUAUGUCCGUGAAAAAUGGAAUGUGCCCGGUGUGCAGUUCCCGCCGAUAUAAUGUCGUGCACGUAUGGUCCUAGAUGUAGGCCUGCAGGGAUAGGAGUGUCGGCCAUAAUCUCAAGCAAAUAUCUGCAUCGAUUAAAUUCUAUGAGUUAUACAUAAGUAAAACCCAAAAAGUCAGCUGUAUCCAAUUUUGACCUAUAAAUCGCGGUCAAUAACGUAUAUCCUCAAAUCUGCAACAAAUUGGAAACAGAAAAAUUGUCCGAAUUCAAAAAAUAUAACGUAUAUCCUCAAAUCCAUCAUAAAAAUUGCAAAAAUAAGCACAACCCACAUCAAAUUUAAACCCAAAUUUCACAACAAAUCUGAACUUGCCCUUGGAUUCAAGUAUUCAAGUAUUAAUUAAACUUAAAAUGCUAUAAGUGAGGCAUUGCAAGUGGAAAAACCUAACCUUUAUGCUGUUUGAGAGUCGCAAUGGGACGACAAUGCUGGCAAACUUUGGGAAGCGGCACUCGCGGAACCAGUCUUUGGAUGCUCCGGUCUUUGGAUGCUUCGAUGUGCAGAAACCAGCUCUGUUUUCUUUGUUUUGCUAUUCGACAAUUCCGAAUUCUUUGUUUUGCUGUUCGACAGCUAUGUUUCGAUAUUGCGUUCUGCUUCUCCCACUCAGUUUUGUCCUUUUUUUUUCGAAAUGGGGUCUUGGCGGUAGUUAGUGCGAGCUCAGUGAGCUCGCACCCCAUUUGUAGAAAACACUCCAAGAACCACCCUCGUUGUAGAAUUCUUUUUUUUUUCAUCAUAAACUAAGAAUUCACCCAUAUAUAGAAGCAUCUGGUACGACAUGUUUCUUUCUUCUUCGACGGUCUAAUCCAUGGGGCCUAUCAAAUUGCACAGUCAAAGUAAGGGAAGUUCUUAUCCAUGGGGCCUAUCAAAUCCCAGACUUUUAAAAGUAAGAGAAGGAAGAUGGGGAAUUUCUGCAAAAAUGUCUUGAGAAAUAUUCCACGUUAAGAAUGCCCGGAUAAGAAUUUAAUACUUAGAAUGAGAAUAUUGCAAGGGAAAUACACCGCCACUGUCGGCACAGCACGGCGGUUGUAACGCGUGUGACGUUAAGUGGCCUAGUAUGCGCCACGUUUUCUUUGUCUUCGUUAUUCAUUUAUUUAUUUUUCUUGUUUGGGAGAUAAUUUUCCUUAAGAGGUCUAUUAAAAGAUUGAACAAGCGAGUAAUCACUUUGAUUUUGUUCAAAAAAAAAAAUCAUCUUUCAAUUAAAAUUUAUUAUUCUCAAUAUAUAACUUAACGUAUCAUUUGAAGGCAUACACAUUCAUAAUUAAUUAUUAUUGACUCUAUCCUCUAUUUAAAUACCUUUCUAACCUAAUUUUACUUUUAAAAAUAAAUUACUAACACUUGAGCCGCUUUCAAAUGAGCACUCAUUCGGGAGCUUCUAAGUUUUUGAGUCAUAACAAUUGGUUCCUUCCGAUGUAACUAUGGUUACUCAAUAGUUCCCAUGCAAACUAUUUAAAGCCUGUUGUCAUUUCACUACCAAGAUAGUCAUAAAAUGCUCCCAAAAGUAAAUUAUUUUGGCCUCUUAAUUCAGAGGCUAAUCUUACGUACCUUCCAAUGUAAACUAGCGAAGAUUCUAAGCACCAACAAGAAUUUAUACCACUAGUUGGAAAUGACCUAGGAAACUGCAGCUUUCUUACUAUCCAUUUAUAUGCUCCGUUUGAAUUAACUAUUUUUUGGAGUGUUUUUAAAAAAUUUUAGUGUAUAUAAAAAAUUUUAACUAUAAAAACUCUUAAAAUAUUUGAUAUAUUGUAUGAAUAAAAUAUUUUUUAAGUUAUUAUUUAUUAUCAUAAUAUUAUAUUUUAAAAACUUAUUUUUGAAAAAAUCGUCAAUCCAAACGGAUUAAACUUGUUGAGAAGAAUCAAGUGGCAAAUGUUAUGCUUCUUCCGGGGGAUCAAUUGGAGUGUCAGCAUUGAGGAUAAGAUCGGGACCAUUUGAUUGAUGCCCAUGAUUGACUUUUGGUUUGACUUGGCUUCACUCCUUGGAAACGCCAUGAAAAGACCGAGGAAUCUUAAAAGGCCAUGCUAAGUUGAUAGAACGUUCAUGUACCUACCAGUUGAGCUGUUAAAUGGAACGAGUAGCUCGAAAGCUCGAUUGACCUCGACUCGAUAAGGCUCGAGUUCGACUCGUUAAUUAUGGUAAACGAGUUGAGAUCAAGCUCGAGAUAUGCUCGUUUGAUUGACAAGCCGAGCAAGCUUGAUUCAUUUGUUAUUCGAGUAGCUCGAUUAGACUCGAUAAGGAAGGGUAUAUAUGUCAUUUCACAAUUUAAAAAUAUAAAAAUUGAAAAUUAUAGAUUUUAAUUAGGGUAAAUUUGCAUGAGCUCGAGCUCAUGCAAGCUUGGCUUGUUUGUGAUAAACGAGUCGUUCGAGUUCGAAUUUGAGCCACAUGUCCCAUUUGACGAGUCGAGUUCAAAUACAUUUCAAAACUCGUCCGCCUAGUCGAGCGAGUUCGAACUUAGCUCGAGUUAAGUUCGAGUCGAACUCGGCAGCCAAAUACUCUGUUCGAUUAACAGUUCUACCUACCAGGGCUGUAAAUGUGUCCAACUUAACUAAAUAUUUUAUCAGGCUCGAAUUCGAUAGAACUUUCAAUGUACGGUUCGAACUUGAGUUCGAAUCUAAUCGAGAUCAAAGAAAAAUGAAAAAUAAUUCUUUUUUUAACAUGAGUAAAAUAAACAUUUUAUUUGGAAAAUAAUAAUGGUACGAAAAACCUACAUGUAAUUUCACUGCUAACCUAAUAAAGCCAAUGGACAAGUAUAUAUCGUAUACUUGGAGCCGGACUCAGACGAACCUGUUAAGUGAAUUUGAGUUCAAGCUUUGACUGAGUUGGUUCCCAGUGCUCGUAGCCUCGUAUACGUCCAUAGAAUUGGAAAGGGACAUUCUUGUAAUCCAAUGUCCUCGAGUCAACAAUUUUUGGUUUCUUGAAAACUCACUUGCCAAUUCCCUGUAACUCAAUUCUUUUUUUUUUAAUGAACCUUGUAUACGUUCAUAGAAUUCAAAAGGGCCAUUCUUGUAAAGAAAAGUCCCGAGUCAACAAUUUUUUGGGUUUCUUGAAAACUCACUGGCAAAUUCCAAAGAGACUCUCUAAGAGCGCUGAUGGUGGUGGAUAUACGAUAUAUAGCAGACGCAAGUAAAGAUGAUGCAAGGGUCGGACGUAGUUUGAGUGUUUCAGCAUCCCGUAAGCUGCGUACUUUGUCACUGGUGGUCAAAGAAACAGACUUUCCACGCCUGCGAAGAUUUUGGAGCAGAUAAUUCGCAUCAGCAUGGUGAGGUAAGCACUUCGCGAAAUGAGUAGAGAAAUUUUGGGUGUAAGACUUGGUAAGAGGUAUAUAAGGUCACAGGCUCGCAGGUCUUUCUACCCGAGAGCCAAGAUUAGUGAAUAGGCAGUGUUAACUACUAAGAUUGUCCAUUAAUAAACGAUGCAAUUUUGCCCUCUUUUUACUCAUCACUAAAACGGGAACGGGUCUGCAAGACUCUCAAAUAUAACUUGUGGCUUUGUCCAAGGGGAAAAAAUUGUAAAGAAAAUAUGCAAUGAUAUCAAGGGUAUUUAUACAAACUUUUUGACAACAUGUAUAAUUAGAUGUACACCAAAAAAAAAAAUUUAGUGGAGAAGCCGAUAUAAAUAGACUCUCAAAUGUACAAAAUUGCACUGUGCUUGUUAAUUAAUCAUUCUGGUGCGCUUUUUCACACAUUUUCCAAUGUAAAAAGUGAAAUCAUGACCAAAAGAUGCUGUGAAACUACGAAAUAAGUUUUAUCGGCUGCACGGGGCAAUUGUAUGAGAAAGUGAAAAGAAACUUUGAAGAAAAAAAUGUGUGAUUUCUUAAAGCUUUAAAAAAGAUUGUGCAAGUGGCUUGCAAAAUCUAUGUCUAGGAAUAAAGAUCCACUUUCUGCACUUUGUUGAAGUAUUUCCCUCAACUUCUUUUUUUUUUUUUCAUUAUUUUUGUUGGAAUAAUCGUUUGAAUCACUCACUAAACAAGGAAAUCAACAACUUGGAGCUCUGCAAGUACUCUUAGAUUUCCAUCCCGGAUGGCAUUAGCCAGCAAGUCCCGGGGAUUGCCUUCCAAAUUAAUUCUCAUGAAAGCAACUAUAAUUCCACCAACAUAUCUUAUCAUGGGUUCUCUGGACAUCCCUUUUUUGCACAGGCAAUAUAUGCAGUUCAUUCGAAUCCCCGGAGCGCCAUCAUCUUGCAUGUCAAAUAACAGACAACCAAUGGGUUAUAUGUUGGAGUUUGAUAUUGAUUGCUGAUGGAUAGUUUAAUAGGAUUUAAUAAGAAGAUCAUAAAAAUCCAAAAACUACUGAUGCACCAUUGUAAAUCUGCCCUGAAUUAGGUGAGUUUGGAUAGGUCUUCCAAACACUCGUCUGUUUUUGGGAUGGCAUGGAGCAAAUUGUACAUUAUGAUUUGUCAACUAUCUAUCCUCUUCCUCCUUUUAGGUGGCGUUUGGUUCACACAUCAGAAUCGAAUUCGGAUUCGAAAUCGGAUAUCUUGGGUUUGGAAUGAGGUCAUUCAUUCCAAUACAUUUGUUUGGUUCAAAUACCUGAUAUAUGUAUAAUUACUAUAGUUGAUAUUUGGUUCGUCAACUCUUUCGGAAUAGAAUGUAAUAAAUAUAUUAUAAACCACAUCAUAAAUGAUAGUUAUUGGCUCUUUGUAAAUGGAAUAUAAGAAAUUUUCACUAAUUAAACAUAUUAGUAAAUUUAGUCUAACUAAUUAAUAAUUUCUAUUAGUAAACAUGUAUAAUUAUUAGUAUAAUUGAUAAUAUUAAUUAUAUUACAUAAAUUAAUAUACAUUAUAUAAUACAUAUAACUAAUAAUAAUAUUAUUAUAAGUUUGUAACUAAUUAAAUUAAAUAUUAUAUAUAUAAUUAAAUAGAAAUAUACAAAUGUUAUAAUAUAAAUAUAUAAUUAUAAUUAUAUAAUAUAUACAAAUAUUAAUUAUAUUAAUAUUUUAUAUAAAUAUAAUAUAUAUUACAGAUUAAAUAUAGUUAUUAUUAUAUAUUAUUAUAUUUAAAAUAAUAAUAAUAAUUAUAAUUAUAUAACUUAUUAAUAUUACAUACAUGUAUAUAUUAUAAUUAUAUGCACAUAUAAUAUACAUUUAUAAAUAUACAUAUAUAUGUUUAUUAUAAAUAUAUUAUUAUAUAAUGUUAAUAAAUUUAUAAUAUAUAAUAUAUAGGUAUAAUUAUAUUUAACUAAAUAAUUAUAAUAUAUAAUUAUAUAAUAUAAUAAUAUCAUUAUUAUAAGUUUGUAACUAAUUAAAUUAAGUAUUAUAUAUAAUUAAAUAUAAUUAUACAAAUGUUAUAGGAGUAAUAUAAAUAUAUAAUUAUAAUUAUAUAAAAUAUAAUUAUUAAUUGUACUAAUAUUUUAUAUAAAUAUAAUGCAUAUUGAUAUUAGAUAUAGUUAUUAUUAUAUUUAAAAUAAUAAAUAUAAAUAUAAUUUAUUAAUUUAUUAAUAUUAUAUACAAGUAUAUAUUAUAAUUAUAUGCACAUAUACUAUACAUUUAUAAAUAUACAUAUAUAUUAUAAAUAUAUUAUUAUAUAAUAUUAAUAAAUUUAUAAUAUAUAUUAUAUAAAUAUAAUUAUACUUAACUAAAUAAUUAUAAUAUAUAUUUAUAUAAUAUACUAAUAUUAUAAUAAAAUAUUAUAAUUAUAAUAUAUUAUAUAUAUGUAUAUAUUAUAAUAUAAAUAUAAAUAUAUAAUAUAUGUAAUAUAUAUAAAUAUUAAUUAUACUAAAUAUUAUGUAAUUAUAAGAUUUUGGAAUCACACUUGGGUUUUGGACAAAACCCACCCUUUUACUAGGGAAUGGAGAGAUGCCAAAUUUUUAGAAAUCAUUCCAAAAUUUCAAUUCCCAUACCAGUGAACCAAACACCAAUUAUGGAGUUUAUUCCAUUACUUCAUUUCGAUACCCUUUUAUCAAACGCCUUUAAGCUUUCUGCGGGGAGCAUCAUCGGGGGUGCGUGGGUCUUUGAUUCUGUCGUCCUCAAACAAGCUAGAUCAAUCCUGGAUAACUAUGAAGAAAAGGUGAAGAUCUCAACAUGGCGAAGCCAAAGAAGAUAUGUUUUCACCAAGAACUUAAUAGUUCUCCAGGAGAAUGGUGUGUCUGGGUUUAAGGGAAUGUUGGUAUAGGGGACCUUAAUUGACUUCUUUUACAUGGUUAAAAGCUACAGGUCACUGCGAUGAAUAAAGGUCUCAAUUAAAGCAUGUCAAAACAGCUUAAGGAAUAGGAUGGUGUAGGGAAUCCCAAACACAUUUUUUAUAGCAUUGGAAUUCGGUAUUUAUGUCAACGGAUAGGUUUUGAAUUGAAUUUCUUUAAUCCAGAUCCAAACUCAUUUAAUUUAGUUAGACCCCAAAUUCAGAUCCAGACCCUUUUAGAUUUGAAAAAAUAAAUUCAUACCCAAACCCUUAUGGAUCUGGGUAUUCAAUGGGUAUCUAUAGGCAUUUUCUGAACAUAUUAAAGAAAAAAUGUAUUAAAAAUAUAUAGAGUUCAUAAAUAAUAUAAAUACAUCUAAUUUUUGUUUUCAACUAAUAAAAUUAACAUUCAACAAGUUGAAUGUAAUAUUGUGAAUUCAAAGAAAAAAUUAUUAUUGACUGUUUCUAUAUGUUUUCAAAGAUUCAAUUUCAUCCACAUCUAAUAUUUCAUUCGUUCGCCUUUACUUUUCAUUCUUUUCUUGAAAAAAUUUGUACCAAUUACAAUGACAAUUAGGAUUAGUUUUUAAAAAAGUAAACAAUUAUAACAUAUAUUAAUAUUCAGCCUUAUUAAAAACAUAUAAUUUUGUACCACUUUUUCUCAUUUAAGCUUCAAUAUUGAUUGAUGCCUCGCAAUCCAGUACUAAAAUAGUGAAUGAGAUAAAAGUCAUUUGACUAAGAAUCGAUGGCAAAUAAAUAAUAGAAAAAGAAAAUUUAUAAACAUGUACUCAUUUCUUUUUAUUCAAUCAAAUUAUCAGUAGUCACUAAUAUUUCAAUCAUAUCUGAAAGCAAUUUCGCACGAAUUUAAUCAAUCAUCCAACCACCAAUACUAAAUGUAAAUUCUGAUGCCAUGAAAUCUUACUGUAUUUGAUCCAAUAGCUAUAAAAUAUUAGAUUAUUUUAUAAAUUUACUAAUAUAUAUCAUAUAUAUUAUUUAAUUAUACAUAUAUGAAUUUGGGUAGGAUUUGGUAUGGGUUUGAAUUUAAAUAUGAAUUCUAGAAAAUCAAAUCCUACCUAGACCCCUGACUCUCUCACAUGGUUAGGAUCUGGGUUUGGGUAGGGCUCUGAUUUAAGAAAUUAAAUCCGAACCCUAUCUAAAUAUAGUGGAUCUGAGUUAGAUAUGGGUAAGAUUCAGCCCAUUGACAUGCCUAGAAUUAAGAAACCACUUAUCCACUUCCAGAGUAUCCUAAAAGAUGAUUGCCUAUGCAAUUACGAGCCCAUUGCCCCUUCUAAGUUCCUUCUGUAAAAUGGAGACUACUCUCUCAUUAUUGGUUCUUGUGUGAGAAUGAAAAAAGAAAUUUUUUUUGGAAGUCAAGCAGUCAACCCUUGAGUUUCUAUAUAUAUUUCCAUUAACCCACUUUUCAAGUAAAUUUGUGUGGCAAAGUUUAAGAUUGAUUUCUAUUUUAUCUGUUAGGUCUGAUCCCAAAAAAUUGACUAACAAGAAUAAUAAGAUUCUUGUCAACUCAAUAAUAAUAAUAACAAAACAAAUAAAUCAAACAGAGAAACACGAAAUUUUACGUGGUUCGAUUAAAUUGAUCUACGUUCACGGACAAAAGAGUAGCACAUUUACUAUAAUAGAAAGAAAGUACAAAAAGAGAGAAUAUAAAAUCUUAUGAAAUAUUUCAUAUGCUCAAAAGGUACCUAAAACUGAAAAAACGAAAGAGCACAAAUAACAUAAAUGCUUAAUGGCUCAAAGACCUAUAACUUACUCUUUUGGUUGAUACCUAACUAAAACUCCUCUCAAAUUGGGGCGUAGGCCCCCCAAAACUCUUUUGAACUAGUGCAUACGACACUUGGAUUGGUGCACUUAACACACUUAAACUCACUUAAUCAACUAUAUUUAUAACAAAUACAAGGAGAGAUUUCUUUUUUAAACUUUUGAUAUGAGAUACAAAGACACAUUUAACAAAUCUCCACUUUGGUAUGUAUCCAACAUCGAUAAAUAGCAAAUAAAUAGCAAACGAGUUCCACCUUAUACAUAAAAAUUUCAACGGAUCUCAACAAACAACCAAAAUUUCAACAGACCCCAACGAACUAGGAUGCAAAAGAUUCAAUGGAUCCCAAUGAGUCAAAACUCACAAAAAGGUUCAGCAGAUCCCAACAAACUAAAAAUCACGAACAUAAUAUUACUCCACCUUUUUCACGAAACCCUCAACGAAUUCCAAGGGUCAAACAGUUCUUCUUCAAAACCCAAUUGAACUCCAUUGAACAAAACCCUCAAUAAGUUCCAAUGAGUCAAAUAACUCUUCUUCAAAAUCCGAUUGAAUUCCAAUGAAAAUUUUUAUCCAAAAUCCUAAUGAAAAUUUAUGUGGUUCGGUCAAAUUAACCUACGUCCACGGGUGAAGGAGGAGAGAGUAUAAAUCCUAAGACAUAUUUCCUAAGCCCAAAAGACAUUUAAAACUGAAAACACAAAAGAGUCUAAAUAACACAAAUGUUUAAUGAUCCAAAUGCCCGUAACUUGCUCUUUUGAUUUGAUGUCUAACCAAAACUCCUCUCAAAUUAGAGCGUAAGCCUCCCAAAACUCUUUUGGAUUGAUAUAUACGGUACUUGGGUUGGUGUAUUUAGCAUAUUUAAAUUUACUUAAAUUCACUAUAUUUAUAACAAUCACAAGGAGAGAUUUUCUUUGUUAAACUACCCAUGUAGGAUAUAAAAACACACUUAAUAUUUUCUAUAGUCCAUCUAAUGAUCAAAUGCAACGAAGUUGGAAAGCUAAUAUGACAUUAUUAUUUCAAUCCUUUCACUAUUAUUUUAUACUGUCAUUUCAAUCUAAUAUGUGGGAGUUAACUAUGUAGAUCUCGAGAAUUCUCAUGUCUCUUGAAUUAAUAAAGUUAAAGGAUGCUUUGCAUAUUUAGGUGCGGUAUGAGUGACACUUUCAACUCUGCCCAGCGGCGUUAGAUGUAGCGCAUUAUUACUGUACCAUGGAAUGCGUAGCACUUGUAGUUAAACAUAAUACUAACUACAAAGUAGGAUCUGUGUCAUUCUCCUUAAAAAAAAAAAAAAAAAGUGUCAUUCGUGGUACUGAUUUGUAAAAUGUCAAUUACUGAGCAUCAGAAACGUGAAAUUUCAGCCAUCAAAUAAAAUUGUUCCUGAAAAUUUUCUCGAGCUUCAGUAAUUCAAUCAAGCUUCAGUAAUUCUUGAGUCUCGACUGUCCUGCCUCUCAAGUCCAAGGUCGAUUAAAACUAACAAAAGAAAAAAAUGUGAGACUCGAAAGUCAACCGACAUAACCCAAAAUUCCACAAAGUCACCAAAGCCCAGUCGUCUCUCGGUCUCCCUAGCACAUAUUAAAUGACAAAUAUUUGCACACUAACUACUGGGCAGAGAAACCAACUCCCUUUAGUGGAGUUGGCCACCACCUUUAGCGUGGGGUGGGAGAUCAAGGGUUCAACCCUUGCUCCCAUCAAAAAGUUACCACUUAAUGUGGCUUUGCUUAAGAUUCAUGUGAGUACUGUGGGUGCUGUGUACCCGUAUGAUCCGAUGGUGGUUUAGUCCCCGUGACCCGGGGUUAAUCACAUUUUAUCCCAUUAAAGAAUACCCCAUUUCUCAGUUUACCCCCUAACCUUUAAUUUUGUUCACUUAACCCCCUUUAGGACAAAAUUGCCCUUGCAUUAUUUUGACUUUUCAUUUACCUUAUUUUCCUUUCUUUUAUUUCUUUUUCUCUUUCUUCUUUAUUUAAUUCUUCCUCUUUCCCACAAAAAUCUUCACCUUAAUGAUUGAAAUUAAAAAGGAGGAAUUGUAGAGAUCUAUCUUUUCCUUAAAUGAUUAAAAAAAAUUCAAAUCACUUUUCUAAAAUACAAUUUUUUUUAGCCUUUCAAUUCUUUUAAUUUUGGGUUUUCCUCUUUUCUUUCUAGUUUCUCAUUUUAUUCCCAAGAAAAUAUCUUAAGAUGAAAUUGUGACCUGAUUAAUAAUUAUCAAUUGAAAUUUGUGACACGUGGCAUCAUACAAAAAAUCAAAAUUAGUUUUUGAUGUCUUUUAAACCUUCGCCCAAAAAUAUGCGAUUACAAACUCAAAACAAAAAUUUUUGUGGAAAUCGAAUUUUCUAUUGGGAAGGAUGAUAGAGAGAAGAAAGAGAAAAAGAAAUAAAAGAAAGGAAAACAAUUUCAUCUUAUGAUAUUUUCUUGAGAAUAAAAUGAGAAACUAGAAAGGAAAGAGGAAAACCCAAAAUUAAAAGAAUUGAAAGGCUAAAAAAAUUGUAUUUUAGAAAAGUGGUUUGAAUAUUUUUUUGAUCAUUUAAGAAGAAGAUAGAUCUUUGUAAUUCCUCUUUUUUAAUUUCAAUCAUUAAGGUGAAGUUUUUGUGGGAAAGAGGAAGAAUUAAAUAAAGAAGAAAGAGAAAAAGAAAUAAAAGAAAGGAAAACAAGGUAAAUGAAAAGUCAAAAUAAUGCAAGGGCAAUUUUGUCCUAAAGGGGGUUAAGUGAGCAAAAUUAAAGGUUAGGGGGUAAACUAAGAAAUGGGGUAUUCUUUAAGGGGAUAAAAUGUGAUUAACCCAUUGAUCAGUUGAGGUCCUACUUUGCUUAACUCAGGUUAGACAUGCUUGUUUCUUCCCUCUCUGCCACAAAUUAUGCAUGCAUUCCGAGACAAUGCAGUUCUAUUUGUUGCGUUUGUAUGAAAUUGAAAUUGCAUGUAUUGAUUGUGUUUUUGAUGGGUUCUUUAGAACUGCUAGUAGUAUAAUCAAUAAUGCAUGAUAUAUUGCCUUGUUGACUUCGUUUGCUGGCCUAAAAAGUUAAGCCGAAAGGAGAGAUGUUUAUAACGUUUUGUUAAAUAACUACUGCAAACAGAGGAAAGCAUAUCCCCCAGGGAGGAAUAAAGCAUGAAUAAAAGAAAUCUGAGAUGUUUGUCAAACCCAUCUGAACAAUUUUACUGUAGUUGAAAGCUUCUGAAUUCUUAUUCCGUUGGACGGAUUUUGAAACUUCCCUGUUAUGUUUCUAUUUAGUUAGACAUAGGACAACUUCACUUACUGAGGAUAAUUAUCUUGUUCAACAAUCUAUGCUCCAUUACCUCUGAAUCCACAUCCUGUCAAAUUUCUUUUUCUUGUUUUUUGAAUAUUUUCUGAUACAUAGGCUGUCAUGUUAACCAAAUCAAUUUAGGAGAACGAAUUGGGUUUUGGCACAUUUCGUUGGAUUGGACGGCUGUUGAACUUUGGCUGCACCUUUGAACUUGUGUCUUAUGAACUUGGUUCUCUUAUAGGCAGUAUGUAAUCUAGUCUAGGUAAUAAGAUCAUAGAUCAAUUAAUGAAUCCGUGGAACUAGACGGAUUUAUGGUUUUUAACUGCAACGGCAGUCUAACUUCUUCACCAGAGUCUUCGUUACAAAUUGAAUCUGGUGCGUGACUCUAAAUCUGGCCUGAACUAGGUGAGUUUGAAUAGGUUUUUCAAUAAGAUGGCACGGAGCAAAUCGUCCUAAUAUGAUACUUGUUUACAGUCCAUCCUAUGUUCCUCUUAAGCUUUCUGUGAGGAGCAUCAGCAGGGCAUUUUGCUCUGAUUCUGCUGUCAGCAAAUAAGUUACAUCAAUCCUAGAUGAGUAUGAAGAAAGGUGAGGUUUCCACAUGUUAAAGCCAAAGAAGAAACGGAAUUCACCAAGAGUUCAAAUUUCUUCAUGAAAAUGGUAUGUGUACGUUUGAGAAAGAUACUGAAUGACGCAGACUGUGUUUACCUUGAUAUAGAAGACCUUGGUUAACUUGGUUCUAAACAGUUCAAACCUUCUGGUCAAUAAAAUGAAUAAAGAUCACAAUUAAGGUAUGUCAAAAUGUCUAAAAGGGAAAGAUGAUGUUGGAAAACCUUAGUAGAAUCUCUUGUAUUGCAUAGGAAUUAUGAAUCCACAAUUGCAGUUUCUGAUAUUAGAAAAUUUACCAUUUUGAGUUGCUGUAAGGUUCAUGAUUGCUCUUUUCCACUUUCAGAGUAUCCGAGUAGAUGAUCUUCCUGUUCUGCCCACUUAUUUGGACGCACAUAUUGCCCUGUCUAUCUUCUUUCUGUAAAAUGUAGUUUACUUUCUUACAAUCAGUUCUUUUAAGUUCUAUAUAUUUCCAUUAACCCAACUUUCUUAGUAAAUUUCGUGAGACAAUGAGUGUAAGAAUUGUUCCUGUUAUACAGUCCGUAUGAAGCAAAGAAGUAUGAAAGCUUAUAUAAAUUUAACUAUUUCAAUCCUUUCAUGUAUUUUAUAUGACUUGGCAUCUGGGAGUUAACUUAGAUCUUGAGGAAUUGGAUACAUCUUCCAAACAAUAAAGUUCAGGAUUUUUUUUCUCAUUUAACUGUUGUAUGAGCAACUCUAGACUAUCGCUGUGUUAGAUGCAUUAAUUAUAUCAGUUUACUGUGUAAUCCAUAGCCCUGUAUUAGAACAUGAUAGACUACACAGAAAAACCUAUGUCAUCAGUGGUGUUGAUUUGUAAAAUGCCAAUUAUUGAGCAUGAGAAAUGAAAAAUAUCAGACAUUAAUGAAACUUGUUCUUGAUUAUUUUCUCAAGUGGUUUAAAAAACAGCAAAGGGUUGGUUAAGCUAUACUGAGGUCUCUAAGCCACUAUGUUUCCGUACCUAGGAAACUAAAGAUAAGCAAAUAGCAGAAAAAUUGACAGAUGGCUCAACCUAACAGUUGAAAUUACAGAAGAUUAACUUUGAUAAUAAAUACUUAUCAGACGGGCCAUAUCAGUUUUACUCCAGCAGCUUAUAAAUUUGAAGAAAAUGGAUAUUUUAUCCUCUCGACUAGCCACCCAAUUGGCCAAGCUAGGACAGCAAUUCCAAUGCAUAUAAUCCAUUGCUUCCAAGACAGUUGCUUUGUAUCUGCUAACUCCUUUAACAGUUCCACAAUCAAUACCUGAAGAAGAAUUAUCGCUAGGAUUACACCCCAAAACAUUUUCCUUUUACGUAUCCCUUUGAAGAAGUUUCCUUCAACUCUUUUCGUGUUGAAUAUGACAAAGAGCUGCCAGAGAACAAGGAUGUUGAAGAUCAUGGUAUCCUUUAUUUUGGCAUCCAGGUUGAAGGUUGAUUGACCUUUGAACUGUAUGGUCAGCAGAACAAUGAUAGGAUAGACAGCUUGUCCCACUAUAUUCUUCCACAUGAUGCUGGUUAUAAAUGGCCGCUUCUGGUUGACUGGUGGCAAUUGUCUGAGCUCUUCUGGUGGUUCCUCAAUGGUGAUAGCCAGUGCAGCCAAUGCACCAACUAUCAACUUCACCCAUAGUACUUGAAAUGCUGCAUAUGGGACUUUACCUGAU
rnacentral:lncRNA from 1 species